UAUUAAACUGAGCUUAUUUAUAUUAAAAAUUUGCAACUUGUAUUUAAAGACAUUUAAUGGGUCAACAAAUAAUGAGUAAUAGCUGUUUGACAGACUGAUAAAUUUAUGCGUAAACAUCCGGGACUACAUAGUGGAAAGUUUUCUGUAACGUUUACUUUUAAACAUGCUCAAAAAUUAUGGGAAAAAGUAACAGCAGAAUUACAUGAGAUACCUGGUGCACAAAAAGAGUGGAAACAAUGACGAAAGACUUGGCAAGACAUGCGAAGUUCCAUUAAAGCCAAAAAUAUUUUGAUCAAGAAUCAUGCAAAAGCAACUGGUGGAGGGCCUGCGUCAAGUCAGGUUUUAACCGAAAUGGAUCAAAAUGUCCUGGCAAUUAUGGGUACAACAGUUGUGGGAGGACAUAAGACAGUGCAAGAAUCCAACGUGCAAAUUAAAGUAUGCGUGUACAUUGAUAUUUUUUGCAAGAGUGGAUAGAUGAUUCAAUUGUAUGUGAAAUCGAUGUUGAUGAAAAUAGGGACAAUUUUCCCAUAAAAUACAAAAGUCAAGAAAUAACGUAGCAAUCUGUGUCACAACAGUCAUUAUCUUCUCAAGAUUAUUACAGUAUAUUGGAAGAAAACUCACCAGAAGAAAACUUAAACAAUGAUAAUGACAAUAACAAUAGGAAAUCUUUAAAAAAAAUGGAAACAACCACUAGAAACACCAAUUAGUGUAGUCAACAACAUAUCAGAUAUUUCUGUAACACCAGCUUCAAAAUCGAGUGGCAUACAAAGAGGUGUUAAAAGAAUUUCUGCUGCACAAAGAUAUGAUAAAUCAAUUGAACAAACUGAAAAGUUAGCGAAAAUUUCGCAGGAAGAUAGCGAGAUACGAAAAUCAUAUUACGCAUAGAAAUUAAAACUUUAUAAGAAGAAAAUAGCUCUGAAAGAAAAAGAUAUCAAUAUCAAAGAAAAUAUAUGCACAUUGCUGGAGCAAUUAGUAAAAAAAAGCAAUUAAAGAGUUACAGAUAUAAGAUAUAGGCUGUGAAAAUGACAUUAGUGUAUUCACAAAGAAAUAAAUGUUCCUAUAAGCUGUU